GACGAACGCUGGCGGCGUGCCUAAUACAUGCAAGUAGAACGCUGAAGGAGGAGCUUGCUUCUCUGGAUGAGUUGCGAACGGGUGAGUAACGCGUAGGUAACCUGCCUGGUAGCGGGGGAUAACUAUUGGAAACGAUAGCUAAUACCGCAUAACAGUAGAUAUCGCAUGAUAUCUACUUGAAAGGUGCAAUUGCAUCACUACCAGAUGGACCUGCGUUGUAUUAGCUAGUUGGUGAGGUAACGGCUCACCAAGGCGACGAUACAUAGCCGACCUGAGAGGGUGAUCCGCCACACUGGGACUGAGACACGGCCCAGACUCCUACGGGAGGCAGCAGUAGGGAAUCUUCGGCAAUGGACGGAAGUCUGACCGAGCAACGCCGCGUGAGUGAAGAAGGUUUUCGGAUCGUAAAGCUCUGUUGUAAGAGAAGAACGAGUGUGAGAGUGGAAAGUUCACACUGUGACGGUAUCUUACCAGAAAGGGACGGCUAACUACGUG
rnacentral:rRNA from 1 species